GACGAACGCUGGCGGCGUGCCUAACACAUGCAAGUCGAACGAGGUCCGUCCUUCGGGAGAAGACCUAGUGGCGAACGGGUGAGUAACACGUGAGAAACCUGCCCCGAAGACCGGGAUAACUCUCCGAAAGGAGAGCUAAUACCGGAUACCCCCACCGAACCGCAUGGCUUGGUGAGGAAAUGGAUUCCGCUUCGGGAGGGUCUCGCGGCCUAUCAGCUAGUUGGUGGGGUAACGGCCCACCAAGGCAUCGACGGGUAGCUGGUCUGAGAGGACGAUCAGCCACACUGGGACUGAGACACGGCCCAGACUCCUACGGGAGGCAGCAGUGGGGAAUCUUGCGCAAUGGGCGAAAGCCUGACGCAGCAACGCCGCGUGGGGGAUGAAGGCUCUCGGGUUGUAAACCCCUUUCAGCAGGGACGAAUCAAGACGGUACCUGCAGAAGAAGCCCCGGCUAACUACGUGCCAGCCGCCGCGGUAAAAC
rnacentral:rRNA from 1 species